GUAGCGAGAUGUAGGUGAGAAUCCUACAGGCCGAAUAUCUAAGGUUUCCUCAGGAAGGCUCGUCCGCUGAGGGUUAGUCGGGACCUAAGCCGAGGCAGAAAGGCGUAGGCGAUGGACAAUCGGUUGAUAUUCCGAUACCACUACCAUCGUUAUCAUCGAGGGUGUGACGGAGAAGGAUAGUGUGUGCUAGCGAUUGGAAAUGCUAGUCUAAGCGUUUAGGGAGUUACGGUAGGCAAAUCCGCUGUAACAAUUCUGAGGCGUGAUGGGGAAGGCCAUAUAGGCCGAAGUACAUGAUUCCAUGCUUCCAAGAAAAGCAUCUAGAGAGAGAAGUAGUGCCCGUACCGCAAACCGACACAGGUAGAUGAGGAGAGAAUCCUAAGGCCGGCGGAAGAAUUGCAGUUAAGGAACUAGGCAAAUUGACCCCGUAAGUUCGCGAGAAGGGGUGCCUGCGAGAGCAGGCCGCAGAGAAUAGGCCCAAGCAACUGUUUAGCAAAAACACAGGUCUCUGCUAAAGCGUAAGCUGAUGUAUAGGGGCUGACGCCUGCCCGGUGCUGGAAGGUUAAGGGGAACACUUAGCGCAAGCGAAGGUGUGAACUUAAGCCCCAGUAAACGGCGGCCGUAACAAUAACGGUCCUAAGGUAGCGAAAUUCCUUGUCAGGUAAGUUCUGACCCGCACGAAUGGCGUAAUGACUUGGGCACUGUCUCAACUGCAAAUCCGGCGAAGUUGUAGUGCGAGUGAAGAUGCUCGCUACCCGCGAUUGGACGGAAAGACCCCGUAGAGCUUUACUGUAGCUUAGCAUUGAAUUCCGGUAUUGUCUGUACAGGAUAGGUGGGAGACUGGGAAACUAGGGCGUCAGCCUUAGUGGAGUCAACCUUGGGAUACCACCCUGACAGUACUGGGGUUCUAACAGGACGCCAUGAAUCUGGUGACUGGACAUUGUUAGGUGGGCAGUUUGACUGGGGCGGUCGCCUCCUAAAAAGUAACGGAGGCGCCCAAAGGUUCCCUCAGAACGGUCGGAAAUCGUUCGUAGAGUGCAAAGGCAGAAGGGAGCCUGACUGCGAGACAUACAAGUCGAGCAGGGACGAAAGUCGGGCUUAGUGAUCCGGUGGUACCUCGUGGGAGGGCCAUCGCUCAACGGAUAAAAGCUACCUCGGGGAUAACAGGCUGAUCUCCCCCAAGAGUCCACAUCGACGGGGAGGUUUGGCACCUCGAUGUCGGCUCGUCGCAUCCUGGGGCUGUAGUAGGUCCCAAGGGUUGGGCUGUUCGCCCAUUAAAGCGGCACGCGAGCUGGGUUCAGAACGUCGUGAGACAGUUCGGUCCCUAUCCGUCGCGGGCGUAGGAAAUUUGAGAGGAGCUGUCCUUAGUACGAGAGGACCGGGAUGGACUGACCUCUGGUGCACCAGUUGUUCCGCCAGGAGCAUGGCUGGGUAGCUAAGUCGGGAAGGGAUAAACGCUGAAAGCAUCUAAGCGUGAAGCCUCCCUCAAGAUGAGAUUUCCCAUAGCAUAAGCUAGUAAGACCCCUUGAAGAACACAAGGUUGAUAGGUCAGAGGUGUAAGUGCGGUAACGUAUUUAGCUGACUGAUACUAAUAGGUCGAGGGCUUGACC
rnacentral:rRNA from 1 species